GUAAAGUCUAAUCCCUCACAUUUUAUCCGUCUUCUCACUUUCUGAGUGACAAAAACAGACGUUAAUGGAGGAUUAGGGUUUUGCAGGACAAACGGAACCAUUGAACCAAAAUCCGUCAUGUCUUCUCUAAUACUGAAACCUUCCUCACUAUCCACGCAUUCUUCUCUAUCACUAUUUGCUUUAUCUGCAAGCUCAAGGGUUUCAAUUUCUUCGGUGAGAUUUCCGAGGAAUUUAACUAGCCGACGGCGAUUAUCUCUCAGUAUUCGUGCUUUAAACAAUCCAUCCUCCGAAAGUAAUGCUAAAGAUACUAACAUUGGCAAUUCCACGCCCAAGGGCAGGAAAGAUAUUCUGCUGGAAUAUGUGAAAAAUGUGCAACCAGAAAUUAUGGAAUUGUUUGUUAAAAGGGCAUCUCCACAGGUGGUCGAUGCAAUGCGUCAAACUGUUACAAACAUGAUUGGCAGUUUACCCCCACAGUUUUUUUCCGUAACAGUAACUACGGUGGCUGAAAAUCUUGCUCAACUUAUGUAUAGUGUAAUGAUGACUGGUUAUAUGUUUAAGAAUGCACAGUUCCGAUUGGAACUCCAACAAAGUAUAGAGCAGGCUGCUCUUCCCGAACCACAAGAAAAUAAGGAUGCUCCGGAUUUUGCACCAGGUACACAGAAAAAGGUGACUGGUGAAGUUAUUCGGUGGAACAAUGUCUCGGGACCUGAGAGAAUAGACGCUGUAAAGUACAUAGAGCUGCUUGAAGCAGAACUUGAGGAGUUGAGUCGUCAAGUUGCCAGAAAAUCUACAAAUGGUCAAAAUGAAUUGUUAGAAUAUAUGAAGUCUCUCGAGCCCCAAAAUUUGAAGGAGUUGACAAGUACUGCUGGAGAAGAUGUCAUUCUGGCAAUGAACACAUUCAUAAAGCGCCUGAUGGCUGUUUCUGAUCCUGCUCAAAUGAAGACUAGUGUUUCGGAGACGAGUGCAACAGAACUUGGCAAGCUAUUGUAUUGGCUAAUGGUUGUCGGGUAUGGUAUCCGAAAUAUUGAAGUCCGUUUUGAUAUGGAAAGGGUACUUGGAACUCCAGCCAAGCUUGCCGAGUUGCCUCCCGGGGAAAUCAUUUAGGCUCUGCUGAAAAACUGCCUCUGUAUGUUCUCCAUUAUUUAUACAGCUGCUUUUGACAUGAUUUAUAAAUGUCCAACUGCAGCUUAAUAGAGGUUAGGUUUAUAUUUCAUAGAGUAGGUUAUAAGAUAAGAUGAGAUGAGAUGAGAUAUGAAUGUUCAGCAACUCCUCUUUCUUUCGCUGUAGAAGUUGAGAAUUUAAUUAUGUUUAAUGCAAGGUUACACACUUGUGUUUUGCCUCCCUCAUGUGUUUUCCCUAUUUUCCAUUUUGGGAUAUUAUAACAAGAGUAGAAGCAAUGAAGCAUUGUUAUAUGUGAUAAUGUUCCAUAAAGAAAACAUAAUAUCGAUGCG